rnacentral:rRNA from 1 species
UUUAUCGGAGAGUUUGAUCCUGGCUCAGGACGAACGCUGGCGGCGUGCCUAAUACAUGCAAGUCGAGCGGACAGAUGGGAGCUUGCUCCCUGAUGUUAGCGGCGGACGGGUGAGUAACACGUGGGUAACCUGCCUGUAAGACUGGGAUAACUCCGGGAAACCGGGGCUAAUACCGGAUGGUUGUCUGAACCGCAUGGUUCAGACAUAAAAGGUGGCUUCGGCUACCACUU